rnacentral:rRNA from 1 species
GAUGAACGCUAGCGACAGGCUUAACACAUGCAAGUCGAGGGGCAGCGGGGGAGAGCAGCGAUGCAAUCCCGCCGGCGACCGGCGCACGGGUGAGUAACACGUAUGCAACCUGCCCGCAGCAGGGGGAUAAGCCGGAGAAAUCCGGUCUAAUACCGCGUAACACAUUAUGGCGGCAUCGUCAUGAUGUCAAAGAUUUAUCGGCAGCGGAUGGGCAUGCGGCGCAUUAGCUAGUUGG